AACUAACAUAAAUCAUAAAAAUGGAAUAUCAUAAGAAUUCUUUACCUUGCGAAGAAAGACGGUCGUAUACGAUAUACUUAACAAGUAAAUGGCUGUAGGUUCACAUAAAUGCCCAGGAGCAAGUAACCAAGCCAGCUAGCCUAGCGCAUCGUUCGCUUCAUGCCAGAUGCCAUUAGCCAAGACAAAUUGAAUUCCAUCAACCGUCUUCGUGAUUCGCACAGACAACGAAUUUAUAACGCUAGGUUGAGUGAGAGAUAUAGAGAAGAACCGAGUCCUAUGGUGUAGUAAGGAGAAUAUGUAUGGCAGAUGUCCGCUUGAUUCAACGUUAGAUUCCAGCUAGGACACCAAUUUAUAUUAUUUUUGUUUCAGCUUGAUGUUCUGUCGCUCGUCAUCGUCAUCAUGUUUGCUCGUUUCACAUUCGAAAUGUUCAUCUCUGUUCUUUUUCUUCUUUUAUACUUCUUUUACUCUACAAUUUGUGCUCUUCACAGAAAGUUUCUUGUUUUUUUUUUUCAACCAUCCAAAUGGAAUGGGCUAUAAGGACGUAGGACGACCUCAAGAGGAAUACUAGAAGUCACUUGAGGGAUAAUCAGAUUUUCCUUGUUCAUAUUCCAUAAGAAGCGCACUGAGGCACACAAGGCACAUUGAUGCAAAGAAAUCUCUUCAAUAAUGGAUUGUAAGUGGGUGGUGAAUGGUAUAUGGGUAUCAUCAACCCAACCCGCUGGACAUUGUACGUCAUUAUAACUCAGGCGAACAAAAUAAUUCGUUUUGAUUAGCAUAAUGGCAAAAAGGCUGCAAAUAUCUUUUUAGUC